rnacentral:rRNA from 1 species
CCCUUAGAUGUCCUGGGCCGCACGCGCGCUACACUGAGUGUCUGAGAUACGAGUCUGCCUGGUCCAGCAAGGUCUAGGUAAUCGCUAAAAGACACAACAUGCUUGGGAUAGAUUAUUGCAAAUAUUAAUCUUGAACGAGGAAUUCCUAGUAAGCGCAAGUUAACAGCUUGCGUUGAUUACGUCCCUGCCCUUUGUACACACCGCCCGUCGCUACUACUGAUUGGAUGUUUAAGCGAGGUUCUCGAACUGCUAGCGACUUAGCUUCGGUGAGGUCGCAGUGUGGGAAGUGAACCUAGCUUUGGUGUCUAGAGGAAGUAAAAGUCGUAACA